GAGGAACUGCACUGGAGAUUCUGGAACUGCAGCCACAUAGGGUUUUCCAUAGUGGUGGUUUUGCAAGGCUCUGAACACAGCUUGUGCUGGACAUGCCUUUCUGCCUGGAUAGAGCAUUUGUUCUAUAUUUCUCUGUAAACAGACAGGACCACCGCCUUCAAAACAACCUCAGCAUUCUCUGGUCUUGCUCCUUUCCCAGGAAGCUGUAGGUUCUUGACAAGCACAGAACCAAGUUUUAUGCACAGAAAAAAAACAUGCCUGGAGAGUUCUCCUCCCACUCAGUGCUGUCCCCAUCUGGGGCCCCACUCACACAUCUCUGAGUAUCAACAGCAGCUGAGCAGGAGCAGCAAACAUGCUGCUGCGGGCAGCUCUGAUGGUCGUAACUGCAUGGUCUUAUGGAUUUGCACAGGAAACUCCCAUACAGAGCCCAGUAUCCAUCACCAAGUCACAAGGAAAUGCAGAUCUGAAGUGUCAUUUUAAAGACUUCUCUGGAAAUUUUGAUAACACUGUCAUACACUGGUAUCAACAAAAGGAGAAUAAGGCCCCUGUGAGGAUGAUGUACUUUUCAGCAGGGAGAACAUUUCCAGAUGAGGGCUUUAAUAGGAACAGAUAUAGGAUUCAAGCAAAUGCUGGACAGAAAAUUUGCACUCUUACAAUCAAGAACGUCAUUCCGGAUGAUGCUGCUUCUUACUAUUGUGCCUACUGGGACCCUCACUGUAACAGAAGCCAAAUGAUCACCACAACAAAUACUUCCUCAGCAGCUCACAGAUCAUUUGGAAUAAACCAGAGCAACUCCGGUGGUGUGGAUGAGCUGCUCAUCCUGAAGGAGUUCCAUCACAAUCUCUUAGAGGAUUUUAGAUAUUUUCUUCUCUCAAAUGAAGGUUUAUGAAGCUAUCUGCAAAGUCCAUGUUAUGCAUUUCUUCGGUGGCAAGUAUAUUUGCUAAUAAUCUUCACCUGGAAAGAUGUAUGGUUGGAAAGGAAUCUGUCCAGUAUACGUGCCUUCUUGUAACUGACAGCACAAAGCUCGAUUUGUAGUUAUGCCUACAGGGAAACUUGCUGUGUUACAAAACUUCAGGACAAAACUUAGACAGUAGCUGUCAUUUGGACAUUAGAUGUGUGAGUUCCCAUCACUACCAUGCGCCAUUUGUUUUCAACUGGAAUCAGGUAUCAGUCAGAUUUCUGCUCUGUGGCCAGAGGAAUAGCAGUGAAUCGAUACACAUUUCAUCUGUCCUGGUAGAUUUUGGCUGCACGGGUUUAGACUCAUGUUCUCUCCAGACAGUCACUAACACAAAUGUGACUGUAACUAACUGAGGUUGCCCAUCCAGGAGAUUGUCCUGGGGUGCUGCUGCAAGGAACGACUGUGUCUCUGUCUCCCUUCUUUAAGUCUAUCCCAUCCUUCCCUCCUCCUUGCACAUGCACUGAAGCCCCAUACCUUCCUGUCCUGACUUAAAAUGAAACGGUCUUUGCUGUUACUGUUUACAAGGAAGAGAGGGAGUCGUCCAAUCCUCUUAGCCACUUGUGCUUAACACCAAGUUGCCAUGAGAUAUUCUGAUUUGUUUUCCAGUAUUUCUCUCCUAGAAGUGUUUGCAUCUGUUCUGAGGUUCAAAACUGAAGUCCUGAGGCUGUGCAUUUCCUCCCACACUCCAAAUCAAA